GGGCUCGGUGCAGUGGGAAAUGUUGCCUUAGUUACAACUGCUUGGAUUUUAUUGGUAACUGAAAUCGUCUUUGCAUGUGAAUUUUGUUAUCUUUUGUUUAUGAUUUCGGUUUGAUGCUGCACGUAGGUCGUGGCAGCUGUAAGAGCUACAGGGGAUUACCCAGGGAGAGUGGGGGGAACCUGUAUGUCAGGUUGACAUUAAAGUAUCUCCAGGAUCUCAUGCAGAUGAAGAAUCAGUUACGAAUUGCUUUUCUAUCCAAGAUAUCAUCUUGAUCAGAGCUCGCUACUUUGUCAAAAACCAUUGCUGGCUAAACCAAUGGUGAUGGAUGUCUAUCAAGAAUAUAUACUUGUCACAUAUCGCCCAUUUGAUGUACACAUAUUCCAUGUCAAGUUAUUUGGUGAAUUCACUACAAAUUUACAGGUAAUG